UACGUAGGGUGCAAGCGUUAAUCGGAAUUACUGGGCGUAAAGCGUGCGCAGGCGGUUAUGUAAGACAGUUGUGAAAUCCCCGGGCUCAACCUGGGAACUGCAUCUGUGACUGCAUAGCUAGAGUACGGUAGAGGGGGAUGGAAUUCCGCGUGUAGCAGUGAAAUGCGUAGAUAUCUGGAGGAACACCGUUGGCGAAGGCGGCAUCCUGGACCGGCAUUGACGCUGAGGAGCGAAAGCCAGGGGAGCAAACGGG
rnacentral:rRNA from 1 species